AAUGAACGCUGGCGGCGUGCCUAAUACAUGCAAGUCGAGCGAAUGGAUUAAGAGCUUGCUCUUAUGAAGUUAGCGGCGGACGGGUGAGUAACACGUGGGUAACCUGCCCAUAAGACUGGGAUAACUCCGGGAAACCGGGGCUAAUACCGGAUAACAUUUUGAACCGCAUGGUUCGAAAUUGAAAGGCGGCUUCGGCUGCCACUUAUGGAUGGACCCGCGUCGCAUUAGCUAGUUGGUGAGGUAACGGCUCACCAAGGCAACGAUGCGUAGCCGGCCUGAGAGGGUGAUCGGCCACACUGGGACUGAGACACGGCCCAGACUCCUACGGGAGGCAGCAGUAGGGAAUCUUCCGCAAUGGACGAAAGUCUGACGGAGCAACGCCGCGUGAGUGAUGAAGGCUUUCGGGUCGUAAAACUCUGUUGUUAGGGAAGAACAAGUGCUAGUUGAAUAAGCUGGCACCUUGACGGUACCUAACCAGAAAGCCACGGCUAACUACGUGCCAGCCGCCGCAGUAA
rnacentral:rRNA from 1 species